CAGUCGCCACGGGAAUACGAAGGGGGCUAGCGUUGCUCGGAAUUACUGGGCGUAAAGGGCGCGUAGGCGGAUGAUUAAGUCGAGGGUGAAAGCCCGGGGCUCAACCUCGGAACUGCCUUUGAUACUGGUCAUCUUGAGUACGGGAGAGGUGUGUGGAACUCCGAGUGUAGAGGUGAAAUUCGUAGAUAUUCGGAAGAACACCAGUGGCGAAGGCGACACACUGGCCCGUUACUGACGCUGAGGCGCGAAAGCGUGGGGAGCAAACAGGAUUAGAUACCCCCGUAGUCCCUGUCUCUUAUAC
rnacentral:rRNA from 1 species